rnacentral:lncRNA from 1 species
UGGAUAUUGGCCGUUGCCGGUCGUCUUCCCCUCCCUCUGCUGCUUCUUCUUCUUCUCCUCCUUUGUGUUUCUUCUAGUAAGCUUCUUCUUCUGCUUACACUUAUUCUCUUUUCUUCUUCUAUCUAAAUGUUAUCUCCUCUCCUUCUUGGUUCUACUUCUUCCUCUUCUUCCCAGUUUCUCUUGCUUUCUUCUCUUCUUCUCUGGUUCUUCCUCUCCUCUUCUUCUAUUCUCAAUCUUCUCUAGUUCUCUAUCUCUUUCUUGUUUUGCUGAACCAUAUCUUUGUCUUUAUGUUUAUCUUGUAAAUUGUAAUUCCCCUACAUUGUAAUGGAAUCAUCUAUUAAUGGAAUUAAUGGUUAAUUUUGGUUAGACAUAAACUGUUUCGUGUUUGUAAGUUCAGUUUAUAUUCCUCACUUUGAGCAAUUAUAAUUUAUAUUCUGCUUCCUGAGUUUAUAAUUGCUGGUUAUUGGUUGAGUUAGUUGAAAAUUGGGCUCCAACCAUAACACUGUUCUUUGGUCCAAUUGACGAUCGAUUUUAGGUUGCACUGGAUAUGUAUGUGUGAACUCGUUUGGGGUUUUCCAUUUUAUGGAUGG